GGAGCACCAUAGCUCAGUGGUAGAACUCAUGCUUAGCAUGCUAAAGGUCUCCGGUUCAAUCCCUGGCAUCUCCA